rnacentral:rRNA from 1 species
GAUGAACGCUGGCGGCGUGCUUAACACAUGCAAGUCGAACGAUGAAGCUCAGCUUGCUGGGUGGAUUAGUGGCGAACGGGUGAGUAACACGUGAGUAACCUGCCCUUAACUCUGGGAUAAGCCUGGGAAACUAGGUCUAAUACCGGAUAGGAGCGUCCACCGCAUGGUGGGUGUUGGAAAGAUUUAUCGGUUUUGGAUGGACUCGCGGCCUAUCAGCUUGUUGGUGAGGUAAUGGCUCACCAAGGCGACGACGGGUAGCCGGCCUGAGAGGGUGACCGGCCACACUGGGACUGAGACACGGCCCAGACUCCUACGGGAGGCAGCAGUGGGGAAUAUUGCACAAUGGGCGAAAGCCGAUGCAGCGACGCCGCGUGAGGGAUGACGGCCUUCGGGUUGUAAACCUCUUUCAGUAGGGAAGAAGCGAAAGUGACGGUACCUGCAGAAGAAGCACCGGCUAACUACGUG